UAUCUUUUCUUUAUUAUGUCUAUUUUGUAUUACUUUAUUGCUUAAUUUCCUGAGAAAUGAUUGCAUUUGAUAUGGUCUACAAGUUUUCAGUGUUGGUCCUGAGGAUGCUGCAGUUGUUGGUAAUCAACUGUCAGAAGAAGAGAAAACUACUCUUCAGACUCAACUGAGAGGAUACGAAGCAACACUGAGCAAUUCCCCAAGAGAUCCAACUGCUCUUGAGGGAGCUGCUGUAACCUUGGCUGAGUUAGGAGAAUAUACCCGAGCGGUCUCUUUGCUUGAGAACUUGACAAAGGAGAAGCCAAGUGACCCUGAUGUUUUUCGUUUGCUUGGAGAAGUUAAGUAUAAACUAAAGGAUUAUGAGGGAAGCGCUAAUGCAUAUGAAAGUGCUGCAAAGGUGUCUAAGUAUCUCAGUUUUGAAGUUCUACGAGGCCGAGCAAAUGCACUACUUGCUGCUAAGAAACCAGAUGAGGCUGUACGGUUCCUUGUUGCCACCCGAGAAGGCCUAGCCAAGGAAAACUCGAA